GUCCGCUGCCCUAACCACUGGGCCAUUGCGCUUCCACAUUGUCCAAUGUAUACUUCUUGUUUUAAGACGGUAGUUUAUAUUUCAAGGGUUUUUGGUGCUACAGAUAAGCAGAUCGAGUGACCUCGUCGUGACUUUCACAGUCUCAUUCUACGACAGUUUUUUUUUUUUUCACUUUCCUUUUUGAUGUAGAUAAUAUGUUUCUCGUCGGUCCUCCAAGGAUUUUUUUUUUAUAUUCGUAAAUACUACACUACAGAAAAAUUAGCUUUUUGUGUUUGUUUACUGCCAUCGUCGUAAUCGUUUUAAAGUCAUUAAGAAAACAGAGAGGUCGAUGAACUUUUCCCAGUACGUUUAAGGUCAUGAGAUUCUUUCAAAUCAUUAAGUUUAUAAUUAUACAUAGGUGAUAAUGAGGACUCUAUAGUGUAAUUAGCAACAAAGUCACCUGGCGUGUUUUAAUUAUAACUUCGUGCUUUUCUAAUUAUGACUGUUUUCUAUUUCAGAAAAACAGAAAUUAUCUACUAAAUAAAUGUUUAGAGAUAGCGUGAGAAGGUCUCUCAGUAAUAUCAUUUAGAAUGUUGCAGCUUUCAUUCGACUUGAAUAGCACAUGGAUUGAUUACUGUCAAGUACUGUUAUUUUUUUAUCCUUUCUUUUUUUAAAUUUUUUUGCAUUAAGUUGAUCAUUCAUGAAUUCCUGCUAUUUUAAAUCUAAAAACAAUGCCAACUCCGACCAAUUUACGUUGCGUAGUAAGUCGAAAGCUUCUCAAUCACAUGGUUUUGGAUUCAAUCCAAUUGUAUGGAAACUUGAGCAAGUGUUAUCUACUAUAGCCCCAACACUUUUGGUGAGAGAAAGUUGUGGUGAAAGAGUACAACAGGGUUCGCCACCAUCCCCUGCAGAAGCCUCAUGGAGCUUUUAGGUGUUUUCGCUCAAUAAACACUCACAACGCCCGGUCUGGGAAUCGAAACCGCGAAUCCGCUGCCCUAACCACUAUAGCAGUAUAUUGCAAAUAUAAAUUUUAAUAAAGACAGCAAGUAAUGUAAUUUUUACUCCCAUCAGCCCUCAUAAAGACUCCCAUUAUUUGCAUAGCUAUAUCUGUUCUUCUAUAAAAGCUUCCAAUUAUAUCAUACCUUGGCAACGAACUGAAUGCAUUUCUACCGUGUAUAUAUCACUGUUCCCCUAAUGAAGGAGACAUUUUCUGAAAAUGAAUUUUAAGAUUCAUUUUUUACUCGAACGAAUUAACCAGAAACGGCCGUAAGAAUAUUUUCAUCUAAUAUGUAACCCAAAGCUUUUUUUGAUGCCUAUUAUUAUAUUUUCACUUCACUAUAUUUUCAAUGACUGAAACAAGUAAAAGAUAAAGAUCAUUCAUGAAUGCCUGUU